rnacentral:rRNA from 1 species
UACAGAGGGAGCAAGCGUUAUCCGGAAUGAUUGGGCGUAAAGCGUCUGUAGGUGGUUCGUAAAGUUUAAUGUCAAAUACCAGGGCUUAACCCUGGACCGGCAUUGAAGCACUCACGGACUUGAGUACGGUAGAGGCAGAGGGAAUUCCAUGUGGAGCGGUGAAAUGCGUAGAGAUCGGGAAGAACGCCAAGGGCGAAGGCACUCUGCUAGGCCUGAUUUCGCGACUGACACUCAGGGACGAGAGCCAGGGGAGCGAAUGGG